UGCCAGAGAUGGUCAGGUUCCUACCCUUUGACAUGUGGGUUUGGACUGUUACAUCUCUGGUAUAGAAAAGAGAGAGAAGGAAAGGCUUUUUGAUGGUUUCCAUCUUUAGGUUUGGAUGUCUCUUUCAAGGUGCUCAUCGUUUGCUUGGUCAUCUUUGUUACGUGAUGACUUGGCUCCAUUUGUUCAUCACAGUU